UGGGGAAUUUUGGACAAUGGGCGAAAGCCUGAUCCAGCAAUGCCGCGUGUGUGAAGAAGGCCUUCGGGUUGUAAAGCACUUUUGUCCGGAAAGAAAUCCUUGGCUCUAAUACAGUCGGGGGAUGACGGUACCGGAAGAAUAAGCACCGGCUAACUACGUGCCAGCAGCCGCGGUAAUACGUAGGGUGCAAGCGUUAAUCGGAAUUACUGGGCGUAAAGCGUGCGCAGGCGGUUUGCUAAGACCGAUGUGAAAUCCCCGGGCUCAACCUGGGAACUGCAUUGGUGACUGGCAGGCUAGAGUAUGGCAGAGGGGGGUAGAAUUCCACGUNUGAGCAGUGAAAUGCGUAGAGAUGUGGAGGAAUACCGAUGGCGAAGGCAGCCCCCUGGGCCAAAUACUGACGCUCAUGCACGAAAAGCGUGGGGAGCAAACAGGAUUAGAUACCCUGGUAGUCCACGCCCUAAACGAUGUCAACUAGUUGUUGGGGAUUCAUUUCCUUAGUAACGUAGCUAACGCGUGAAGUUGACCGCCUGGGGAGUACGUCGCAAGAUUAAAACUCAAAGGAAUUGAC
rnacentral:rRNA from 1 species